rnacentral:rRNA from 1 species
CCUACGGGUGGCAGCAGUGGGGAAUAUUGGUCAAUGGCCGGAAGCCUGAACCAGCCAUGCCGCGUGAAGGUCAGUGCCCUAUGGGCGGUAAACUUCUUUUGUGCGGGAGCAAUAAUGGUCACGUGUGGCCAGACUAGAGUACCGUACGAAUAAGCAUCGGCUAACUCCGUGCCAGCAGCCGCGGUACUACGGGGGAUGCAAGCGUUAUCCGGAUUUAUUGGGUUGAAAGGGUGCGUAGGCUGGGAGGUAAGUCAGCGGUGAAAUGCCCCGGCUCAAGGGGGUGAAGUGCCAUUGAUACUGCCUUGCUGGAAUGCGGAUGAGGUGGGAGGAAU